rnacentral:rRNA from 1 species
GCUUCGGCUCCCGCUAUCGGAUGAGCCUAUGUCGGAUUAGCUGGUUGGUGAGGUAAAGGCUCACCAAGGCGACGAUCCGUAGCUGGUCUGAGAGGAUGAUCAGCCACAUCGGGACUGAGACACGGCCCGAACUCCUACGGGAGGCAGCAGUGGGGAAUAUUGGACAAUGGGGGGAACCCUGAUCCAGCCAUGCCGCGUGUGUGAAGAAGGCCCUCGGGUUGUAAAGCACUUUCAGUGAGGAAGAACGCCUGGUGGUUAAUACCCAUCAGGAAAGACAUCACUCACAGAAGAAGCACCGGCUAACUCCGUGCCAGCAGCCGCGGUAAUACGGAGGGUGCGAGCGUUAAUCGGAAUUACUGGGCGUAAAGCGCGCGUAGGUGGCUUGAUAAGCCGGUUGUGAAAGCCCCGGGCUCAACCUGGGAACGGCAUCCGGAACUGUCAAGCUAGAGUGCAGGAGAGGAAGGUAGAAUUCCCGGUGUAGCGGUGAAAUGCGUAGAGGUCGGGNAGNGGAAACCAGUGGCGAAGGCGGCCUUCUGGACUGACACUGACACUGAGGUGCGAAAGCGUGGGUAGCAAACAGGAUUAGAUACCCUGGUAGUCCACGCCGUAAACGAUGUCGACCAGCCGUUGGGUGCCUAGCGCACUUUGUGGCGAAGUUAACGCGAUAAGUCGACCGCCUGGGGAGUACGGCCGCANAGGUUAAAACUCAAAUGAAUUGACGGGGGCCCGUACAAGCGGUGGAGCAUGUGGUUUAAUUCGAUGCAACGCGAAGAACCUUACCUACUCUUGACAUCCUGCGAACUUGUGAGAGAUCACUUGGUGCCUUCGGGAACGCAGAGACAGGUGCUGCAUGGCUGUCGUCAGCUCGUGUUGUGAAAUGUUGGGUUAAGUCCCGUAACGAGCGCAACCCUUGUCCUUAUUUGCCAGCGCGUAAUGGCGGGAACUCUAAGGAGACUGCCGGUGACAAACCGGAGGAAGGUGGGGACGACGUCAAGCCAUCAUGGCCCUUACGAGUAGGGCUACACACGCGCUACAAUGGUCGGUACAAAGGGUUGCCAACUCGCGAGAGUGAGCCAAUCCCGAAAAGCCGAUCUCAGUCCGGAUCGGAGUCUGCAACUCGACUCCGUGAAGUCGGAAUCGCUAGUAAUCGUGGAUCAGAAUG